UGGGGAAUGGUCUAGUGGUAGGACAGCGGACUCUGGAUCCGCCAGCGAAGGUUCGAAUCCUUCUUCCCCAGCCA
rnacentral:tRNA from 1 species